UGGGCAGGACAGGCAGUUGCGUUGACUUUUAGAGUCGAUGAGGAAAGUCCGGGCUCCACAGAGCAAGGGUGCCGGAUAACGUCCGGCGCAGGCAACUGUAGGGAAAGUGCAACAGAAACACACCGCCGAAACAGGUAAUGCUGUGGCAAGGGUGAAAUGGUGCGGUAAGAGCGCACCGGGUGUCCGGAGACGGACAUGCCGUGUAAACCCCACCCGGAGCAAGACCAAAUAGAGCCUAAAAAAGUGGUUGCUCGCCGCCGGCUCGAAAGGUAGGUCGCAUGAGCAUAUCAGUAAUGAUAUGCCAAGAUAGAUGAUUGCCAUAUACAGAACCCGGCUUACGGACUGCCCAAUCU
rnacentral:RNase_P_RNA from 1 species